UGUUUCCCAGAGGCAGCGCUGCCGCACGAGAGGGCAGGGCGUCGAAGGUUCAUCACCCUCUCUCCACCAGGAGCUGGAGGAGCAGCUCGGGAUUAAAAUACUUCUGGAAGACUCUCAGGUUCUACCAGAAGCUCUUAAAGGAGAAACAGAACCUCGCUGGAUGCACAGGGUCCAGCAAAGGUGUCCUGCCCCUGGUUCUCAAGUGAAGACCUUGAUGUCCAAAGUGAAAGGGCAGCUGGAAGAUGAGGGUCAACUGCAGUUCCUCGGACUGGUCAGGAUGUACUUACUGGCAACUCCCCUUGUAUCUCGGCUCCUCUCCCUCCUAAGAUCUGAUACUCGCCAGGAUUUACCCUUUUAAAACUCUGGAAAUCAGUCCAAGUGAAAACAGACCCUGACUUUUGAGACGCUGCUCCUGGGGUCAGGGCAGCAGGUCAACUGGACAUUGGGGAUUGAUUCGCUGCCCAAUGUCAUGUGUGCCAAGUGGUGUGACCGUGAACCCAGCCGACCAGGGCAAGGAGAUACCGGACUUAAGCACACUCACCCAUCGUCUAGAACAACAUCGGCAAGAAUCUGGUGGGAUGAGCAGAAGAUGGCCAGGCUCACUUGGACUCCAGGCACCUGGCUGAGGGGCCCCUCACAUGCAGACCUGGGCACCUGGCACGCCUUCCCAUGCUGCUGCAGCAGUGAUGUCCUGCACUGCCUGGUGGACCGCUUCAGCAGCACUCCAACCAGGUAUCAUCUGUGAAAUGCCUUGUGGAUAAGACAAACAUGGGACCUUCUUCAUUUAUGCUUUUAUUUUUC
rnacentral:lncRNA from 1 species